GGUUAAGCGACUAAGCGUACACGGUGGAUGCCCUGGCAGUCAGAGGCGAUGAAGGACGUGCUAAUCUGCGAAAAGCGUCGGUAAGGUGAUAUGAACCGUUAUAGCCGGCGAUGUCCGAAUGGGGAAACCCAGUGCAAUUCGUUGCACUAUCGUUAACUGAAUACAUAGGUUAACGAGGCGAACCGGGGGAACUGAAACAUCUAAGUACCCCGAGGAAAAGAAAUCAACCGAGAUUCCCCCAGUAGCGGCGAGCGAACGGGGAGCAGCCCAGAGUCUGAAUCAGCUUGUGUGUUAGUGGAACGGUCUGGAAAGUCCGACGGUACAGGGUGAUAGUCCCGUACACCAAAAUGCGCAGGCUGUGAACUCGAAGAGUAGGGCGGGACACGUGGUAUCCUGUCUGAAUAUGGGGGGACCAUCCUCCAAGGCUAAAUACUCCUGACUGACCGAUAGUGAACCAGUACCGUGAGGGAAAGGCGAAAAGAACCCCGGCGAGGGGAGUGAAAAAGAACCUGAAACCGUGUACGUACAAGCAGUGGGAGCACCUUCGGGUGUGACUGCGUACCUUUUGUAUAAUGGGUCAGCGACUUAUAUUCUGUAGCAAGGUUAACCGUAUAGGGGAGCCGCAGGGAAACCGAGUCUUAACUGGGCGUUAAGUUGCAGGGUAUAGACCCGAAACCCGGUGAUCUAGCCAUGGGCAGGUUGAAGGUUGGGUAACACUAACUGGAGGACCGAACCGACUAAUGUUGAAAAAUUAGCGGAUGACUUGUGGCUGGGGGUGAAAGGCCAAUCAAACCGGGAGAUAGCUGGUUCUCCCCGAAAGCUAUUUAGGUAGCGCCUCGUGAAUUCAUCUUCGGGGGUAGAGCACUGUUUCGGCUAGGGGGUCAUCCCGACUUACCAACCCGAUGCAAACUACGAAUACCGAAGAAUGUUAUCACGGGAGACACACGGCGGGUGCUAACGUCCGUCGUGAAGAGGGAAACAACCCAGACCGCCAGCUAAGGUCCCAAAGUCAUGGUUAAGUGGGAAACGAUGUGGGAAGGCACAGACAGCCAGGAUGUUGGCUUAGAAGCAGCCAUCAUUUAAAGAAAGCGUAAUAGCUCACUGGUCGAGUCGGCCUGCGCGGAAGAUGUAACGGGGCUAAACCAUGCACCGAAGCUGCGGCAGCGACACGAUGUGUUGUUGGGUAGGGGAGCGUUCUGUAAGCCUGCGAAGGUGGCCUGUGAGGGUUGCUGGAGGUAUCAGAAGUGCGAAUGCUGACAUAAGUAACGAUAAAGCGGGUGAAAAGCCCGCUCGCCGGAAGACCAAGGGUUCCUGUCCAACGUUAAUCGGGGCAGGGUGAGUCGACCCCUAAGGCGAGGCCGAAAGGCGUAGUCGAUGGGAAACAGGUUAAUAUUCCUGUACUUGGUGUUACUGCGAAGGGGGGACGGAGAAGGCUAUGUUAGCCGGGCGACGGUUGUCCCGGUUUAAGCAUGUAGGCUGGUUAUCCAGGCAAAUCCGGAUAAUCAAGGCUGAGGUGUGAUGACGAAGCACUACGGUGCUGAAGUAACAAAUGCCCUGCUUCCAGGAAAAGCCUCUAAGCAUCAGGUAACAUCAAAUCGUACCCCAAACCGACACAGGUGGUCAGGUAGAGAAUACCAAGGCGCUUGAGAGAACUCGGGUGAAGGAACUAGGCAAAAUGGUGCCGUAACUUCGGGAGAAGGCACGCUGGUGUGUAGGUGAAGCCCCUGCGGGUGGAGCUGAGACCAGUCGAAGAUACCAGCUGGCUGCAACUGUUUAUUAAAAACACAGCACUGUGCAAACACGAAAGUGGACGUAUACGGUGUGACGCCUGCCCGGUGCCGGAAGGUUAAUUGAUGGGGUUAUCCGUAAGGAGAAGCUCUUGAUCGAAGCCCCGGUAAACGGCGGCCGUAACUAUAACGGUCCUAAGGUAGCGAAAUUCCUUGUCGGGUAAGUUCCGACCUGCACGAAUGGCGUAAUGAUGGCCAGGCUGUCUCCACCCGAGACUCAGUGAAAUUGAACUCGCUGUGAAGAUGCAGUGUACCCGCGGCAAGACGGAAAGACCCCGUGAACCUUUACUAUAGCUUGACACUGAACAUUGAGCCUUGAUGUGUAGGAUAGGUGGGAGGCUUUGAAGCGUGGACGCCAGUCUGCGUGGAGCCAACCUUGAAAUACCACCCUUUAAUGUUUGAUGUUCUAACGUUGGCCCCUGACCGGGGUUGCGGACAGUGUCUGGUGGGUAGUUUGACUGGGGCGGUCUCCUCCCAAAGCGUAACGGAGGAGCACGAAGGUUAGCUAAUCCUGGUCGGACAUCAGGAGGUUAGUGCAAUGGCAUAAGCUAGCUUGACUGCGAGCGUGACGGCGCGAGCAGGUGCGAAAGCAGGUCAUAGUGAUCCGGUGGUUCUGAAUGGAAGGGCCAUCGCUCAACGGAUAAAAGGUACUCCGGGGAUAACAGGCUGAUACCGCCCAAGAGUUCAUAUCGACGGCGGUGUUUGGCACCUCGAUGUCGGCUCAUCACAUCCUGGGGCUGAAGUAGGUCCCAAGGGUAUGGCUGUUCGCCAUUUAAAGUGGUACGCGAGCUGGGUUUAGAACGUCGUGAGACAGUUCGGUCCCUAUCUGCCGUGGGCGCUGGAGAAUUGAGGGGGGCUGCUCCUAGUACGAGAGGACCGGAGUGGACGCAUCACUGGUGUUCGGGUUGUCAUGCCAAUGGCACUGCCCGGUAGCUAAAUGCGGAAGAGAUAAGUGCUGAAAGCAUCUAAGCACGAAACUUGCCCCGAGAUGAGUUCUCCCUGAGACUUUAAGUCUCCUGAAGGAACGUUGAAGACGACGACGUUGAUAGGCCGGGUGUGUAAGCGCAGCGAUGCGUUGAGCUAACCGGUACUAAUGAACCGUGAGGCUUAACCUU
rnacentral:rRNA from 1 species